rnacentral:lncRNA from 1 species
ACAAAGUUUUAUUGAAAGUUAUUGUAAGGGCGAAAGUGAAAUUUUUCGACAUGACGCCGCUCGGGCGCAUUCUUAACAGGUUUUCGUCGGACACGUACACUGUGGACGAUUCCUUACCUUUCAUACUCAACAUAUUGCUUGCUCAAGUUUUCUCAUUGAUUGGCGCCAUUGUAGUGACAAUAUACGGUCUCCCGUGGCUCGUAGCG